UACGAAGGGAGCUAGCGUUGUUCGGAAUCACUGGGCGUAAAGCGCUCGUAGGCGGAUCUUUUAAGUCAGAGGUGAAAUCCCAAGGCUCAACCUUGGAACUGCCUUUGAUACUGGGGAUCUCGAGUCCGGGAGAGGUGAGUGGAACUGCGAGUGUAGAGGUGAAAUUCGUAGAUUAUCGCAAGAACACCAAUGGCGAAGGCAGAUCUCUGGGCCGUAACUGACGC
rnacentral:rRNA from 1 species